GAAAAUUAGAUUCUUGUUACACUUAGUUUGAAAUACACUUAGUGUUUUCUCACAAAAUUUAAUUUCAUGAACUACAUCUCUAAACAUUUAAUAUUUAGUAAUGGUAACUAUUCCUUGCUUAGGAGCAGAUGGUACAUGCAGUAGGCCCACAUGGUCAGAAGAGGGUCCAUCUGUAUUAGCAGGCUAGUUCACAUCUCGACUACACACUCUUAGAACUCCUGGUUCCUGAAUUUCCAGAGCACUCUGUGAACCCCACUUUGAUUCUUGUGUCAGAGAAGCCUCAGCACAGACACUGGACUCUCUGUGGACGACACUAAAUUGAAUGAUACACUCCACCUGUGCACUCAAUGUGUUCCAGCUGUGCAUCUAAUGUCUUCCAGCUGUGCCCCUGAUAUAUUCCAGCCUGAGUUAGAUACAGAGCAACACUAUGCAGACACAUAGAGUUCGGGUCUUGAGUUAUCUUUGGCUCUCCAAAUGAUAUAGCCAGAAUUGUGAAGCCAUUGCCAUGUAGGGAAGGUUUUCUAGGAAAACCAGCAGGAAUUCUAGGAAGAUCUGGCUUCCAGGGCAAGCUUAAAGAGCUACUGUAUCACAGUCUUCAGUAAAAGAGAAAAAUAUCCUGUGAGUGUAUUGAGUACCUUGGCAGAUAUGAAGGUGGGUUUAAGGGACACUUUAUAUGCCACUAAGAGUUGUUCAGUUUCUGGUCCUUGAACUCCUUUUGAAUUCUUAGGCUAAUUUCAUUGUGGUAACCAGUGGGAAUAAUGCUCCUGAGGAACAACAGAGUCACCAGUUUUCAAGACAAGAUUCUCAAACCUGUCAGCAAGGUAAAAAGGAGCAUUGCUCAGAAAAUAGAGAAGACAUUGACUGGGAAAGAUCCCUUUGCAGAAAUAAAUUCUCUCAGGGCAUGAGAUGGAAAAGUUGAAAUAUAAAGAAGACCAGAUCCGGAGAAGAAUCUUUCUAAGUGCAAAGUAGAAGAAAAAUAUGAAACACAACUAUUCUCUCCUGUUAAAAAAUAUAACUGUUUGAAAAACUG